GACGAACGCUGGCGGCGUGCUUAACACAUGCAAGUCGUACGGUAAGGCCCUUUCGGGGGUACACGAGUGGCGAACGGGUGAGUAACACGUGAGUAACCUGCCCACAACUUUGGGAUAACGCUAGGAAACUGGUGCUAAUACUGGAUAUGUGCUCCUGCUGCAUGGUGGGGGUUGGAAAGCUCCGGCGGUUGUGGAUGGACUCGCGGCCUAUCAGCUUGUUGGUGGGGUAGUGGCCUACCAAGGCGGCGACGGGUAGCCGGUCUGAGAGGGUGACCGGCCACAUUGGGACUGAGAUACGGCCCAGACUCCUACGGGAGGCAGCAGUGGGGAAGAUUGCACAAUGGGCGCAAGCCUGAUGCAGCAACGCCGCGUGCGGGAUGACGGCCUUCGGGUUGUAAACCGCUUUCAGCAGGGACGAAGCUUUUUGUGACGGUACCUGCAGAAGAAGCACCGGCUAACUACGUG
rnacentral:rRNA from 1 species